rnacentral:rRNA from 1 species
CCUACGGGAGGCAGCAGUGGGGAAUUUUGGACAAUGGGCGAAAGCCUGAUCCAGCAAUGCCGCGUGUGCGAAGAAGGCCUUCGGGUUGUAAAGCACUUUUGUUCGGGAAGAAAACGUCUGUGUUAAUACCACGGGCGGAUGACGGUACCGGAAGAAUAAGCACCGGCUAACUACGUGCCAGCAGCCGCGGUAAU